GGACUACUAGGGUUUCUAAUCCUGUUUGCUCCCCACGCUUUCGUGCUUCAGUGUCAGUAUUAGGCCAGAUAGCCGCCUUCGCCACUGGUGUUCCUUCCGAUCUCUACGCAUUUCACCGCUACACCGGAAAUUCCACUAUCCUCUCCCAUACUCUAGUUCAACAGUCUUAACUGGCCUUCCCAGGUUGAGCCCAGGGCUUUCACAGUUAACUUAUCAAACCACCUACGCACCCUUUACGCCCAGUAAUUCCGAUUAACGCUUGCACCCUCCGUAUUACCGCGGCUGCUGGCAC
rnacentral:rRNA from 1 species